rnacentral:miRNA from 15 species
AUUGGUGAGUUCAUCUCCAAUG